rnacentral:rRNA from 1 species
AAGAGAGAGACAUGCGCGCAUAUCAAUAAGCGGAGGAAAAGAAACUAACAAGGAUUCCCCUAGUAACGGCGAGGUGAAGCGGGAAGAGCUCAAAUUUGAAAUCUUAAAGGGUUUCCCUUUACGAAUUGUAGUUUAAUAGAAGUGUUUUCUGUUGAGGUUUUGGUAAAAGUUCUUUGGAAUAGGACAUCAUAGAGGGUGAGAAUCCCGUAUUUGACCUUUACUUUCAACUUUGUGAUACACUUUCAAAGAGUCGGAUUGUUUGGGAAUGCAGUCCAAAAUGGGUGGUAAAUUUCAUCUAAAGCUAAAUAUUGGCGAGAGACCGAUAGCGAACAAGUACCGUGAGGGAAAGAUGAAAAGAACUUUGAAAAGAGAGUUAAACAGUACGUGAAAUUGUCAAAAGGGAAGCGUUUGACACCAGUGUUGUUUUUCUGAAAAUCAAUUAAAGAACUGUUUAUGCUAAGUUGUUUAGACUUUAUCAGCUAACUGUUUAGUUUUGAGCUUUUCUUUAAUGCACUUUUCAGUUAACAAGUCAACAUCAAUUUCUUUUGCUGUAAAAAAGCUUGAGGAAGGUGGCUUGAGAUUCGUCUUAAGUGUUUAUAGCCUCUUGCCUAUGCAGUCGGAGAGAUUGAGGUCUGCAGCGUAGAUCCUUCGGGGCUAAAUGCAUUUGUGCUAAGUUAUAGCAUUUUAUAGACAACUUGUUGACUAUGAUUUGUCUUGUAGCUUACUCGCUUAUGUUAUUUUACCUACGCUUAGGAUGUUGAGCGCAUGUCUCUCUCU